rnacentral:rRNA from 1 species
ACCCGCUGAACUUAAGCAUAUCAAUAAGCGGAGGAAAAGAAACCAACAGGGAUUGCCCUAGUAACGGCGAGUGAAGCGGCAACAGCUCAAAUUUGAAAUCUGGCCUUCGGGUCCGAGUUGUAAUUUGUAGAGGAUGCUUUUGGUGAGGUGCCUUCCGAGUUCCCUGGAACGGGACGCCAUAGAGGGUGAGAGCCCCGUCUGGUUGGACACCGAUCCUCUGUAAAGCUCCUUCGACGAGUCGAGUAGUUUGGGAAUGCUGCUCUAAAUGGGAGGUAUAUGUCUUCUAAAGCUAAAUAUUGGCCAGAGACCGAUAGCGCACAAGUAGAGUGAUCGAAAGAUGAAAAGCACUUUGAAAAGAGAGUUAAAAAGUACGUGAAAUUGUUGAAAGGGAAGCGCUCAUGACCAGACUUGGGCUUGGUUGAUCAUCCAGGGUUCUCCCUGGUGCACUCUUCCAGUUCAGGCCAGCAUCAGUUCGCUGUGGGGGAUAAAGGCUUUGGGAAUGUGGCUCCUUCGGGAGUGUUAUAGCCCAUUGUGUAAUACCCUGUGGUGGACUGAGGUUCGCGCAUUCGCAAGGAUGCUGGCGUAAUGGUCAUCAGCGACCCGUCUUGAAACACGGACCAAGGAGUCGUCUUCGUAUGCGAGUGUUCGGGUGUUAAACCCCUACGCGUAAUGAAAGUGAACGCAGGUGAGAGCUUCGGCGCAUCAUCGACCGAUCCUGAUGUUCUCGGAUGGAUUUGAGUAAGAGCAUACGGGGCCGGACCCGAAAGAAGGUGAACUAUGCCUGUAUAGGGUGAAGCCAGAGGAAACUCUGGUGGAGGCUCGCAGCGGUUCUGACGUGCAAAUCGAUCGUCAAAUAUGGGCAUGGGGGCGAAAGACUAAUCGAACCUUCUAGUAGCUGGUUUCCGCCGAAGUUUCCCUCAGGA